GUAAGUAUCGUAUAGUUGGUUAUUACCUCCGCCUUCCAAGUGGAUGACUCCAGUUCGAAUCUGGAUGCUUAUA
rnacentral:tRNA from 1 species